rnacentral:rRNA from 1 species
GAUGAACGCUGGCGGCGUGCCUAAUACAUGCAAGUAGAACGCAGAAGGAAGGAGCUUGCUCUUCCCGGAUGAGUUGCGAACGGGUGAGUAACGCGUAGGUAACCUGCCUGGAAGCGGGGGAUAACUACUGGAAACGAUAGCUAAUACCGCAUAACAGUAGAUGUUGCAUGAUAUCUACUUAAAAGGUGCAAUUGCACCACUACCAGAUGGAACUCGGUCGUAUUAGCUAGUUUGUGAGGUAAACGCUCACCAAGGCGAAGGUACAUAGCCGACCUGAGAAGGGGGUCCGCCAACCUGGGACUUGGAAACCGCCCAGGCCCCCUCCGGGAGCCGCCGUAGGGAAUCUUCGCCAAUGGACGGAAGUCUGGCCGGGCCACGCCGCGUGAGUGGAGGAGGUUUUCGGGUCGUAAAGCUCUUUUGUAUGAGAAGAACGAGUGUGGGAAUUGAAAGUUCACGCUGUGACGGUAUCUUACCAGAAAGGGACGGCUAACUACGUG